UACGUAGGGGGCGAGCGUUGUCCGGAAUUAUUGGGCGUAAAGAGCUCGUAGGCGGCUUAGUAAGUCGGCGGUGAAAUACCGAGGCUCAACCUCGGCACUGCCGUCGAUACUGCUAUGGCUAGAGUUUGGUAGAGGAGAACGGAAUUCCCGGUGUAGCGGUGGAAUGCGCAGAUAUCAGGAGGAACACCAGCGGCGAAGGCGGCGCUCUGGGCCGGUACUGACACUGAGGAGCGAAAGCGUGGGUAGCAAACAGG
rnacentral:rRNA from 1 species